AUGAACGCUGGCGGCGUGCCUAAUACAUGCCAGUCGAGCGAACAGAUAAGGAGCUUGCUCCUUUGACGUUAGCGGCGGACGGGUGAGUAACACGUGGGUAACCUACCUAUAAGACUGGGAUAACUUCGGGAAACCGGAGCUAAUACCGGAUAACAUUUGGAACCGCAUGGUUCUAAAGUGAAAGAUGGUUUUGCUAUCACUUAUAGAUGGACCCGCGCCGUAUUAGCUAGUUGGUAAGGUAACGGCUUACCAAGGCAACGAUACGUAGCCGACCUGAGAGGGUGAUCGGCCACACUGGAACUGAGACACGGUCCAGACUCCUACGGGAGGCAGCAGUAGGGAAUCUUCCGCAAUGGGCGAAAGCCUGACGGAGCAACGCCGCGUGAGUGAUGAAGGGUUUCGGCUCGUAAAACUCUGUUAUUAGGGAAGAACAAAUGUGUAAGUAACUGUGCACGUCUUGACGGUACCUAAUCAGAAAGCCACGGCUAACUACGUG
rnacentral:rRNA from 1 species